AACCCCUUCGCAGGGCCGUGUAUAGUAAGUGAUCCGAACCUGCCCGGAGCGCCCCCCUUAGAGGCAAGUGAAGUUGGUGAGCCGUAUGAUGGGCAACUAUCUCCUGCGGUUCGGAGAGGACUCAGCUGUUAG
rnacentral:rRNA from 1 species